AAGAAACGCCUUUCUUGCUCCAAUAAAUAUCCCGAGAACCGUCGGCCGCAUCGAUGACCGUGGUGUAGCCCUAGUGGUCGACCGACCCCUCUUGUUCAUGUCCUUGCGCUUCUCCCUCUCCUCCUUGCCCCCCUUUCGUCGGAACGCUGUCCUCUUCCUGAUCCCCGCCUCGCGACCUCUCAUGGCGCCGACCAAGGUGGUCGCGGAGUACGCCAAGUCCGGCCGGUCCUCGUGCAAGAGCUGCAGUAAGGCGAUCGCGGCCGGCGCGCUGCGGCUCGGCUCCUCGGCCAAUGACCCGCGUGGGUUCGAUCUCGUCCGUUGGUUCCACGUUGAUUGCUUCCCGGCCGAGUCCCUCGCCCUUGCCGCCGCCGACGAGAUCGUCGGCUUUUCAUCUUUGAAGGACCACGAAAAGGACGCAUUGAGGAAGCUGGAGCCUUCCGCAUCAUCAAACCAAAUAACUGAAGAGGUCCAUAAAAGAUGUCGUGGUGCAUAUGUGAAGAUGGAGGCAAAGAGUUCAAAGAAACCAAAGAUCUGCAUUGCGGAUGAAGCUGGGAGUGAAGAUUUGGUGGAAGAGAGACCAGAGGGACAAAAGGCUGGUUCUCAUCUAUCUGUAAAUGCAAAACACAAUUUCCUACAGAUGGAUUUUCAUAUUUCUGACACCAAAGAUAGGUACAAGGAUGCCACACUACCACCAAAAUGGAUAGCCUUUAGGACAAUAAUUUUUAAUGAGAAGGAAGAUGGCUUCCAUGAUUCAGAAAGAAUUGCUGCAUUUGAUUUUGAUGGUUGUCUUGUGAAUACAUCUGUGAAAAGAAUUGGUCCUGAUGCUUGGUCUCUUAUGUAUCCAUCAAUUCCAGAGAAAUUGCAAGAACUAUAUAAGGGUGGCUACAAGCUGGUUAUUUUUACCAAUGAAUCCAAUAUUGAGCGUUGGAAGAACAAGCGACAACAAGCAGUGGAUUCCAAAAUAGGACGGCUUGAAAACUUCAUCAAGUGUGUUAAAGUACCAAUUCAGGUAUUUAUCGCUUGUGGGCUGGGGAAGAACAAGGAUGGGACUGAUGAUCCUUUUCGGAAACCACAACCAGGAAUGUGGAAACUAAUGGAGGAACACUUCAAUUCUAGCAUUGCAGUCGACAUGGAUCAAUCCUUUUAUGUUGGUGAUGCAGCAGGAAGAACUAAUGAUCACAGUGAUGCAGAUAUAAAAUUUGCCAAGGACCAAUUGCAAGAUUUUUUUUUUUUUGUUGGACAAAUGAAGGUUUAUAGGAAGCUUUGAGUUGGACUUGGCUCCAACUAUUUAAAACUCAAAUGUAACACCUCAACUGGAAAGGAAAGAACAAAAUGUGAGUGGAAGCACUGGCUGAAUGAUUACACAGUUGUGUGACUUGGAGUAGUAUUUUUGACCUUUUGUGUAUAUUUCGUGUUCCUGAACAGGUGGUGGGAUUGAAAUUUUACGUUCCGGAAGAGUUCUUUGGAGCAUAAGAUGACCUUUCCAUCUGCCGCCUCAACUUUUUGUGGGCAUAUAUACUUUUUCUUGGUAGACUAGUGUGGACACCAUGGGCGAUGUACUUACUGUGUGGUAGUAUGGUUAAUCUUCUCGGUUGGCUCAUUGGAGCCAAUUUAUCUGGUGGCUGCAGAACAAGCAGCGGAUUCUCUCAAAAGAUUGAUCUCAGUCAGCGUCAACGUUCUGUUCCGCAUGCAAUGUAUUCACAAUCGUGUCUUUUUUAUUUAUUUAUUUAUUUUUUCUUUGA